GAUGAACGCUGGCGGCGUGCCUAAUACAUGCAAGUCGAGCGAACAGACGAGGAGCUUGCUCCUCUGACGUUAGCGGCGGACGGGUGAGUAACACGUGGAUAACCUACCUAUAAGACUGGGAUAACUUCGGGAAACUGGAGCUAAUACCGGAUAAUAUAUUGAACCGCAUGGUUCAAUAGUGAAAGACGGUUUUGCUGUCACUUAUAGAUGGAUCCGCGCCGCAUUAGCUAGUUGGUAAGGUAACGGCUUACCAAGGCAACGAUGCGUAGCCGACCUGAGAGGGUGAUCGGCCACACUAGAAGUGAGACACGGUCCAGACUCCUACGGGAGGCAGCAGUAGGGAAUCUUCCGCAAUGGACGAAGGCUUGACGGAGCAACGCCGCGUGAGUUAUAGAAGUCUUCGGAUCGUAAAACUCUAUUAUUAGGGAAGGACAAAUGUGUAAGUAACUAUACACGUCUUGACGGUACCUGAUCAGAAAGCCACGGCUAACUACGUG
rnacentral:rRNA from 1 species